ACUCCUACGGGAGGCAGCAGUGGGGAAUAUUGCACAAUGGACGAAAGUCUGAUGCAGCAACGCCGCAGUGGAGGAUGACACAUUUCGGUGCGUAAACUCCUUUUAUAUAGGGAAGAUGAUUGACGGUACUAUAUGAAAUAAGCNCCCGGGCUAAACUCCGGUGCCAGCAGCCGCGGUAAUACGGAGGGUGCAAGCGUUACUCGGAAUCACUGGGCGUAAAGAGCGUGUAGGCGGAUAGAUAAGUCAGGAGUGAAAUCCUAUGGCUCAACCAUAGAACUGCUCUUGAAACUGUCAAUCUAGAAUGUGGGAGAGGUAGAUGGAAUUUCUGGUGUAGGGGUAAAAUCCUAGAGAUCAGAAGGAAUACCGAUUGCGAAGGCGAUCUACUGGAACAUAAUUGACGCUGAGACGCGAAAGCGUGGGAGCAAACAGGAUUAGAUACCCUGGUAGACUGUCAU
rnacentral:rRNA from 1 species